UACGUAGGGUGCGAGCGUUGUCCGGAUUUAUUGGGCGUAAAGAGCUCGUAGGCGGUUUGUCGCGUCGGCCGUGAAAUCUCCACGCUUAACGUGGAGCGUGCGGUCGAUACGGGCAGACUUGAGUUCGGUAGGGGAGACUGGAAUUCCUGGUGUAGCGGUGAAAUGCGCAGAUAUCAAGAGGAACACCGGUGGCGAAGGCGGGUCUCUGGGCCGAUACUGACGCUGAGGAGCGAAAGCGUGGGGAGCGAACAGG
rnacentral:rRNA from 1 species